GGAACCUCAUCAACUGACAAACAGCAAAACUAGCGUCUCUCCCUGUUGUUUUCACUGCUUUCAGGUAAGUUUAGUUAACAAAAUCACACAAAUAAUACAUACAAACGUUCCUGACACAUUUAUUACGUAUAAUUGAUACGCUUCUGUUGAAUAUUUACUUUAUUGAAAUGGUUUUGUGUCUUCGAAAAAGUCCGUUAGCAUCUCAACCGUUUUCAGAAAAGAUCAUCAUGCUGAUGGCCUGCUGCACCCCGUCCAAGACAAUCUCCACGGCUAUGAACUCGACUAGUGUGUUUUUAAUUAUGUUGGCCAAUGAGACAGACACCAUACUGUCCAACUCAAAGGUA